rnacentral:ncRNA from 1 species
UUAAAAUUUGGGUUUUUAAAUUAAUUUAUAGAUAAAUUAUAUGUAAAUUUUAGUAUAUUGAUUUAGAUAAGGUUUAGGCAGUAAUUAAAUUUAAAUAUGUAAGUAAUUAUGAUUUAGGGAUUUAUAUAAGUAUUAACAAAAUUUGUGCCAGCAGUUGCGGUUAUACAAAUAAUACAAUUAAUUUAUAUUAGUUGAUAAUAAAUUAUAUAAUAUGUAUAAUUUAAUUUUAAUUUUUUAAGGUAAAAUUUAAAAAUUAUUUAAUUUAUUUAAAAAUUUAUGAUUUAUGAAAUUUAUUAAUAAACUAGGAUUAGAUACCCUAUUAUUUUAAAUGUAAAAAAUAUAGCUAAAUUAUUAUGAGUUAUGAUCUUUAAAGUUAAAAAUUUUGGCGGUAUUUUAGUCUAUUUAGAGGAACCUGUUUAAUAAUUGAUAUUCCACAAUUUAUUAUACUUAUAUUAUAAAUUUGUAUAUCGUCGUAAAUGAAAUAUUUUAUUAGAAUUUAAAUAUUUAAGGUUUAAUAUUUUAAAAAAAGUCAGAUCAAGGUGCAGUGUAUAUAUAAGGUAGAAUGGGUUACAAUAAAUUUAUUUAUAGAUAAAUAAUUGAAAAUUAUUUUGAAAUUGGAUUUAAUAGUAAUAAAAUUUAAUUUAAUUUUAUGAUUUAAGCUCUAAAAUAUGUACAUAUUGCCCGUCACUUUCAUAUAAAAUGAAAUAAGUCGUAACAAAGUAGAUGUACUGGAAAGUGUAUCUAGUAAGAC